ACAACAUUCGGAGCGUCGGUCUACCGAGCAAUAUCAUCCGCUCGUCAGAAGAUCAACACUUUGUCGU
rnacentral:pre_miRNA from 1 species